rnacentral:lncRNA from 1 species
AUGGGUAGCUUGGGUCCUAGAGACCAAGCGAGAGAGGGUGACGUCAAUGCUAAGGAUGCCAAGCCAAAGCUGAAGGAAAAGACUGAUAAGUGCGAUGACUACGAGAACAUUAAGAAAGCGUGUGCUUCGAAGCCCACCAUCGAGCCUAACAUGGACACAGAGACAGGAAGAAGUGAGGAUGACGUGGAGAUCAGCUACUCUGAGGUCUCGUUCAGAGCAAAGCCAGGACACCAGACAGUCUGUAGUUCUGACCCUCGCCACUGCAGGGCAAGCCACAGCAGCAGCUCAGAUGAAGAAGACUACACAACCCAGUAUACUGAUGUUAAAAUAUCAGAGGAAGUUUCAUUCAUAGUCAAAAAAAAAGUAUUAAGGUUUGUAAAUAUCUGUAUCACACCCAGUCAAAAGUGUGGACACACCUACUCAUUCAAGGGUUUUUCUUUACUAUUUUUUGGAGGACAGAGGAGCCUCUUAAAGAAGAAGUUACAGGUGUGUGAGAGCCAGAAAUAUUGCUUGUUUGUAGGUGACCAAAUACUUAUUUUCCACCAUAAUUUGCAAAUAAAUUCAUUAAAAAUCUUACAAUGUGAUUUUAUGGAAUUUUGUUUCUCAUUUUGUCUGUCAUAG